rnacentral:rRNA from 1 species
GACGAACGCUGGCGGCGUGCUUAACACAUGCAAGUCGAACGAAGUGGCGAACGGGUGAGCAACGCGUAAUCAACCUGCCCUUCAGAGGGGGACAACAGUUGGAAACGACUGCUAAUACCGCAUACUGAAGGAGGGGAUUGCGUCUGAUUAGCUAGUUGGAGGGGUAACGGCCCACCAAGGCGAGGAGCAGUAGACGGGCUGAGAGGAUGAACGGGCACAUUGGGAAUGGGGAACGGGCCAAACUUCUACGGGGGGCAGGAGGGGGGAAUCUUCCGAAAUGGACGGAAGGCUGACGGAGCAACGCCGCGGGAGUGGUGACGGCCUUCGGGUUGUAAAGCUCUUUUAAUCGGGACGCGGUACCGGAAUAGAAAGCCACGGCUAACUACGUGCCAGCAGCCGCGGUAAUAC